GGUGGCAUAGCCAAGUGGCUAGGGCGACGGAUUGCAAAUCCGUUAUUCCCCAGUUCGAGUCUGGGUGCCGCCUCCA
rnacentral:tRNA from 1 species